rnacentral:lncRNA from 1 species
AUUUACACGUUGCUCAGUUGCUUGCAUCCUAAUUUUUAAAGUUAAAGUUGGCCAAAUCUGCUUCAAUACAGAUGUUAUCAUACGUUGUUCCCUGUGGCUGGGUGUGCAGCAAGCAUCAGCUGAGUACUGUGGAGAACAAGAGCUUUCAGGUCACGGAUUACAAACCAGAAACAUGUGCAACACAUUCUACACAGUGUGACCGCCAUCUUCUUCGACUGUUGACCUUAUUCGGACAGACGGCGUAUAAAACUGUGAAGACAGCAGAUGAACAGAUGGCCUUUUCCCACCACGCUCUUACACACGCAGACCAGCAAGUAAAGCAGUGAUAUGACAUUCUUAAAUCUGCACCAAAAAAAAUGACUUUGUUUCUCCCCAAUGAAUGUAUUGUUUACACACAUAUUGUACAGAGUUAGACUUAUAAAACACCAAUUAGUCAGCACAGUUACAAAUCACAGUCACUGUCUGUACGGGUGUGUGCACUGCUGCGUUCAGUUGGACCAUUGUUUCCUCUGAGCUAGUGUUGCUCAUGCUCCAUCUCUGCUUCUCAAUGAUCUGACUGACCACUAUGCACAACGUUACAGCCAUCAUCAUCAUCAUCAUCAUCAUUUGCUUCAGGCUCAUCUUCAGAAAUAGAAAUAGUCUUUGUCAAAAGUUCCGCAGCCCUGCACCAUCAUCUUACUGUGACGGUACACUAAAUAACAAAGAGCUCUUCGUCCACAUGUUUGACCGUCCUUCAACUUUGAAA